AGAAUAUAUAAUUCAAAAAUUUAAAUUUUCGACUGCAUGUAACAGCCUUCGUUACUGUUACCUUCGUUCGCUGUUACAUGCAGUCGAAAAUUUAAAUUUUUGAAUUAUA